rnacentral:tRNA from 1 species
UCAGGAAUUUGGUGGAGCCAGGCGGGAUCGAACCGCCGACCUCCUGCGUGCAAGGCAGGCGCUCUCCCAGCUGAGCUAUGGCCCCUGAACUCCAAUCUGGUGGGUCUGGGAGGAUUUGAACCUCCGACCUCACCCUUAUCAGGGGUGCGCUCUAACCAACUGAGCUACAGACCCAAUUUGCUCAAGUGCAGUACAGAUGCUUCAAGCAACAGGCCUGUAUCUGCUUUAACUGUGGAUAGGUAAUUUAUGUGAGUACUCCGCCGGCCCGGCGAAACUUUUUAAAGGA